rnacentral:rRNA from 1 species
UAGGGAAUCUUCGGCAAUGGGGGCAACCCUGGCCGAGCAACGCCGCGUGAGUGAAGAAGGUUUUCGGAUCGUAAAGCUCUGUUGUAAGAGAAGAACGUGUGUGAGAGUGGAAAGUUCACACAGUGACGGUAACUUACCAGAAAGGGACGGCUAACUACGUGCCAG